GGAUUGCCCCAGUAACGGCGAGUGAAGCGGCAACAGCUCAAAUUUGAAAUCUGGCCCCCAGGGCCCGAGUUGUAAUUUGCAGAGGAUGCUUUUGGCGCGGUGCCUUCCGAGUUCCCUGGAACGGGACGCCAUAGAGGGUGAGAGCCCCGUCUGGUCGGACGCCUAGCCUGUGUAAAGCUCCUUCGACGAGUCGAGUAGUUUGGGAAUGCUGCUCUAAAUGGGAGGUAUAUGUCUUCUAAAGCUAAAUACCGGCCAGAGACCGAUAGCGCACAAGUAGAGUGAUCGAAAGAUGAAAAGCACUUUGAAAAGAGGGUUAAAUAGUACGUGAAAUUGUUGAAAGGGAAGCGCUUGUGACCAGACUUGGGCCCGGUGGAUCAUCCAGCGUUCUCGCUGGUGCACCCCGCCGGGUUCAGGCCAGCAUCAGUUCGCCGCGGGGGAAAAAGGCUUCGGGAACGUGGCUCCUACGGGAGUGUUAUAGCCCGUUGCAUAAUACCCUGGGGCGGACUGAGGUUCGCGCUCCGCAAGGAUGCUGGCGUAAUGGUCAUCAGCGACCCGUCUUGAAACACGGACCAAGGAGUCGUCUUCGUAUGCGAGUGUUCGGGUGUAAAACCCCUACGCGUAAUGAAAGUGAACGCAGGUGAGAGCUUCGGCGCAUCAUCGACCGAUCCUGAUGUUCUCGGAUGGAUUUGAGUAAGAGCAUACGGGGCCGGACCCGAAAGAAGGUGAACUAUGCCUGUAUAGGGUGAAGCCAGAGGAAACUCUGGUGGAGGCUCGCAGCGGUUCUGACGUGCAAAUCGAUCGUCAAAUAUGGGCAUGGGGGCGAAAGACUAAUCGAACCUUCUAGUAGCUGGUUUCCGCCGAAGUUUCCCUCAGGAUAGCAGUGUUGAACUCAGUUUUAUGAGGUAAAGCGAAUGAUUAGGGACCCGGGGGCGCUUUUUAGCCUUCAUCCAUUCUCAAACUUUAAAUAUGUAAGAAGCCCUUGUUGCUUAAUUGAACGUGGGCAUUCGAAUGUAUCAACACUAGUGGGCCAUUUUUGGUAAGCAGAACUGGCGAUGCGGGAUGAACCGAACGCGAGGUUAAGGUGCCAGAGUAGACGCUCAUCAGACACCACAAAAGGCGUUAGUACAUCUUGACAGCAGGACGGUGGCCAUGGAAGUCGGAAUCCGCUAAGGACUGUGUAACAACUCACCUGCCGAAUGUACUAGCCCUGAAAAUGGAUGGCGCUCAAGCGUCUCACCCAUACCUCGCCCUCAGGGUAGAAACGAUGCCCUGAGGAGUAGGCGGACGUGGAGGUCGUGACGA
rnacentral:rRNA from 1 species